UUUCGUGACCAAGCGUCCUUGUCAAAGAUUGAACUUGUCAGAUCUCGGAAGCUAAUCAAGGCCAGGUCUGGUUAGUACUUGGAUGGGAGACUGCUGGGAAUUCCAAGUGGCACAAUGG
rnacentral:rRNA from 1 species